UUAAAUUGAAGAGUUUGAUCAUGGCUCAGAUUGAACGCUGGCGGCAGGCCUAACACAUGCAAGUCGAACGGUAACAGGAAGCAGCUUGCUGCUUCGCUGACGAGUGGCGGACGGGUGAGUAAUGUCUGGGAAACUGCCUGAUGGAGGGGGAUAACUACUGGAAACGGUGGCUAAUACCGCAUAACGUCGCAAGACCAAAGAGGGGGACCUUCGGGCCUCUUGCCAUCAGAUGUGCCCAGAUGGGAUUAGCUUGUUGGUGAGGUAACGGCUCACCAAGGCGACGAUCCCUAGCUGGUCUGAGAGGAUGACCAGCCACACUGGAACUGAGACACGGUCCAGACUCCUACGGGAGGCA
rnacentral:rRNA from 2 species